rnacentral:rRNA from 1 species
GACAGAGGGUGCAAACGUUGUUCGGAAUUACUGGGCGUAAAGCGCGUGUAGGCGGCUAAGCAAGUCGGGCGUGAAAUCCCACCGCUCAACGGUGGAAGUGCACCCGAAACUGCAUAGCUAGAGUCCUGGAGAGGAAGGUGGAAUGCUUGGUGUAGAGGUGAAAUGCGUAGAUAUCGGGAGGAACACCAGUGGCGAAGGCGACUACCUGGCCUGUUCUUGACGCUGAGGCGCGAAAGCUAGGGGAGCAAACGGG